rnacentral:lncRNA from 1 species
AAGCAGCACAGCCUUUUGGACGGGAGGCACCAGGCUAGUAGGGUCCUUAUUUACUGCUGUAGCCCAGUGCCUACAGAAAGCCUGUGUUUCAUAGAUGCGCAAUAAAAUUUGUUGAGAUUAAAUAGGUAAUUGAGAGAUAAAGAAACCAGAGGUAAGUUAAACUUUUCAUAUUUUUCUGGAACCUUGCAGCUGGUGGCACGGAGGCAGUCCAUUUUGGAACUAGAAGUUUAAUGAGACCCCUGUAAAUGCAAACACACCUUUGAUUGGCUGAUGCUGCUAAGAGCAGAAGAAAAACAAAUCGAACCUCCGCAAACUAAAGAAAUCUCAUUAUGAGGAGAACUGGGAACUGGAAACUCCGAGAGAAGAAAGGGUUACGUACUUAGCAGAAGGGAGGAGUUUCAAAUCCUGGCAGUCUACCACAGACAGUGUUCACUUGAGACUACACAGUACUGCUUAUGAAAUGAAACUGGCGGAAGGUAAGACAAAUGAGCAACUUCCUUUUGGUGCCCUCUCCAGGUUAGUGAACCAAAUAGGUUCUAGGUUAGAAUCGUCACC